AUGAGCUUUUGGGGAGCAACAGUAAUUACAAGCUUAGCUAGCGCCAUACCAAUAGUAGGAGAUACCAUAGUGACUUGGCUUUGGGGUGGUUUCUCCGUGGACAAUGCCACCUUAAAUCAUUUUUUUAGUCUCCAUCAUUUACUCGCCCUUGUUCUUCCUUUUGAUUUAAACGUUCUCCCCCUGGGAGCUGCAGAAUUCUGGCAGGGGCAGCCCCCUUUUCCAGAUCAUGAAAAUGUGGUGGAGAGUGAUGAUUCAUCAACUGAUUCAUCAGGGAGUUCAUCUGAUGAUUCAUCAACUGAUUCAUCGGAUCUCGACACGGAUUAUGAUGAGAUAACUGAUGAUUCAUCAACUGAUUCAUCAGGGAGUUCAUCUGAUGAUUCAUCAACUGAUUCAUCAGGGAGUUCAUCUGAUGAUAUGGACUGCUCUGAAGGAACACCCCCCUGA
rnacentral:rRNA from 1 species